rnacentral:rRNA from 1 species
UACGUAGGGCGCAAGCGUUGUCCGGAAUUAUUGGGCGUAAAGCGCUCGUAGGCGGUCUGUUGCGUCCGCUGUGAAAACUCGGGGCUUAACCCCGAGCCUGCAGUGGAUACGGGCAGACUAGAGGUAGGUAGGGGAGAAUGGAAUUCCCGGUGUAGCGGUGAAAUGCGCAGAUAUCGGGAGGAACACCGGUGGCGAAGGCGGUUCGCUGGGCCUUACCUGACACUGAGGAGCGAAAGCGUGGGGAGCGAACAGG